rnacentral:ncRNA from 1 species
GAAUAGCAACACGGGUGCUUGAUGAAGUCAGGCUGAGAUAGUGGCCCUAAUGCCACUGACCGUUAAUCUGAUCUGGAUAAUGCCAGCGUAGAGACCUUUAGUGCUUUUUUU